UACGAAGGGUGCAAGCGUUACUCGGAAUUACUGGGCGUAAAGCGUGCGUAGGUGGUGAGUUAAGUCUGUCGUGAAAGCCCCGGGCUCAACCUGGGAAUGGCGAUGGAUACUGGCUCGCUAGAGUGCGGUAGAGGGUGGUGGAAUUCCCGGUGUAGCAGUGAAAUGCGUAGAGAUGCGGAGGAACACCGAUGGCGAAGGCAGCCCCCUGGGCCAAUACUGACGCUCAGGCACGAAAGCGUGGGGAGCAAACAGG
rnacentral:rRNA from 1 species